UGGGGAAUAUUGGACAAUGGGCGAAAGCCUGAUCCAGCAAUGCCGCGUGUGUGAAGAAGGUCUUCGGAUUGUAAAGCACUUUCGACGGGGACGAUGAUGACGGUACCCGUAGAAGAACGCCCCGGCUAACUUCGUGCCAG
rnacentral:rRNA from 1 species